GGAAGUCCCUGGUGCCUGAGAGGCUGGGUCAGGAGCGCGUGGCCGCGGACGGUUGGGGGCGCGCCGGGCUGGGGCGCGGAGCCGCGGAAGGGGCGGUGCGUCGGGGUCCGCGUCGGGGUCGCGCGUCGGGCGCGCCGUGGCCCCGUCGGGGCGGCGGGAGCUGCGGAGCCGCCAUGGCGGACCUGGAGGCCGUGCUGGCCGACGUCAGCUACCUGAUGGCCAUGGAGAAGAGCAAGACGGCGCCGGCCGCGCGCGCCAGCAAGAAGGUCGUCCUGCCGGAGCCCAGUAUCCGGAGUGUGAUGCAGAGGUAUCUGGCAGAGAGAAACGAAAUAACCUUUGACAAGAUUUUCAAUCAGAAAAUCGGCUUCCUACUAUUUAAAGACUUCUGCUUGAAUGAAAUUGGGGAAGCAGUGCCUCAGGUGAAAUUUUAUGAAGAGAUAAAAGAAUAUGAGAAGCUGGACAACGAAGAGGAUAGGCUACGCCGGAGCCGGCAGAUGUACGACGCCUACAUCAUGAGGGAGCUCCUAUCCAGCACACACCAAUUCUCAAAGCAAGCUGUAGAACAUGUCCAGAGCCAUCUCUCCAAGAAACAGGUGACGGCUACACUUUUCCAGCCAUACAUAGAAGAAAUCUGUGAAAGCCUUCGUGGGGAUAUUUUCCAAAAGUUUAUGGAAAGCGAUAAAUUCACUAGAUUCUGUCAGUGGAAGAACGUGGAGUUGAAUAUUCACCUGAGCAUGAACGACUUCAGUGUGCACAGGAUCAUCGGCCGAGGAGGGUUUGGGGAAGUUUAUGGCUGCAGGAAAGCAGACACCGGUAAAAUGUAUGCCAUGAAGUGCUUAGACAAGAAAAGGGUGAAGAUGAAGCAGGGGGAGACUCUGGCUUUGAACGAGAGGAUCAUGCUGUCUCUCGUUAGCACUGGGGAUUGUCCCUUUAUUGUCUGCAUGACCUACGCCUUCCACACGCCGGACAAACUCUGCUUCAUCCUGGACCUGAUGAACGGGGGCGACAUGCACUACCAUCUCUCUCAACACGGGGUGUUUUCUGAGAAGGAGAUGCGGUUUUAUGCCAGCGAGAUCAUCCUGGGCCUCGAGCACAUGCACACCUGCUUCGUAGUCUACAGAGACCUGAAGCCUGCGAACAUCCUCCUAGAUGAAUAUGGGCACGUGAGGAUAUCGGAUCUCGGCCUUGCCUGCGAUUUCUCCAAAAAGAAGCCUCAUGCCAGCGUGGGCACCCAUGGGUACAUGGCUCCCGAGGUGUUGCAGAAGGGAACGUGCUAUGACAGCAGCGCCGACUGGUUCUCCCUGGGCUGUAUGCUCUUCAAGCUUCUGCGGGGCCACAGCCCCUUCAGGCAGCAUAAAACCAAAGACAAGCAUGAGAUAGACCGAAUGACCCUGACCGUGAACGUGCAGCUUCCAGAUGCCUUCUCCCCUGAGCUGAGGUCCCUCUUAGAGGGUUUGCUCCAGCGGGACGUGAGCCAGCGGCUGGGCUGCGGAGGAGGAGGGUGGGCCAUCUUUCAGAGUCUCCACUCCAAAGGAAAAGGGCACGAGAGUUGAAGGAGCACAUCUUCUUCAAGGGCAUUGACUGGCAGCAUGUGUACUUACGGAAGACUGCUGUCUUGGGGUAUACAGGUCAGCUGAUAACUGGGCCUUACCUACUUGUUGGAUCUUGUAGUACCCGCCACCCCUAAUCCCUCCUCGGGGAGAGGUCAACGCUGCAGAUGCCUUCGAUAUCGGCUCCUUCGAUGAGGAAGACACCAAAGGCAUUAAGCUGUUGGACUGUGACCAGGACCUCUAUAAGAACUUCCCACUGGUGAUCUCCGAGCGCUGGCAGCAAGAAGUGGUGGAGACCAUCUAUGACGCCGUCAAUGCUGAUACUGAUAAAAUCGAGGCCAGGAGGAAGGCUAAAAAUAAGCAACUUGGUCAAGAGGAAGAUUACGCUAUGGGGAAGGACUGCAUCAUGCACGGGUACAUGCUGAAGCUGGGGAACCCCUUUCUCACACAGUGGCAAAGACGCUAUUUUUACCUGUUCCCCAACAGACUGGAGUGGAGAGGAGAGGGCGAGUCUCGGCAAAGUCUACUGACCAUGGAACAGAUCAUGUCUGUGGAGGAGACCCAGAUUAAAGACAGAAAGUGCAUCUUACUCAGGAUAAAGGGAGGGAAGCAAUUUGUCUUGCAAUGUGAGAGUGACCCCGAGUUUGCACAGUGGCUGAAGGAGCUGACCUGCACCUUCAAUGAGGCCCAGAGACUGCUGCGCCGUGCCCCCAAAUUCCUCAACAAACCACGGGCCGCCAUCCUGGAGUUCUCCAAGCCACCACUGUGUCACAGAAAUAGCAGCGGCCUCUGAACCACAGAGCAGCGGGGCCUGAAGGAGGGGCCCCAGCUCUUCAGCCCAGGAGUGGAACGAAGCCACGGGGAACCGUGUGGGGCUAAGACACAGUGUUUCUGAGCACUGACGGGGCUGCUCCAAGCCGAGGAGGCUCAGGACACCAGGGCGGCCUUCUGGGAGCUGGGACAUCCUCGGGGCUGUCCUAUCCACACUCGAAAUUACUGAAGAAGCAGAGGCAUUCUGCUGUGCAACUCUCUCACUUUGGUAUCCAGGGACCCAGAACGUAAAAUGGUCCUUACUUCUCAAGCUUUUAUGUCUGGCAGGGAGCAUAUCUGGGGUGGAAGCACGGUCUCUGGGACUAUGGUGGCCUGUUCUAGGCAUUGCUGUGUCCGAGUGCCUGCCUGAGGUGUAGGGGUUGAGGCUCCAGACACUGGAGGAGGGUCUCUGUAGGUCAGGGCUGACUCCUUGCUGUCCCUGAGGCGAUGAGGUAACCCUGAGUAUCGUGUGCACUUCCUUCCUCUGAUGACUUCUUUCCAGGGAUGCCCCUCGAGGAAACUUCGCGGCAUCCAUCACAGCCAUUUCUGGUGGGCACAGACUUCAAGCAGGACCUAGGUAACCCACCAGACAGUGCCCCCAAUGCAUGGCGUGCAUAAACUUGGAGUCACCAUCAAUGGUUAGGUAUGACAGAGUCCUCCUGAUCCCCCAGUUUGACCUGGGGAGCAUCUGAGGAUGUGCCCAAGAUAGACAAGAGUUGCUGCCUUGUCUUUCAGUAUAGCUUAUAAUGAUCUCACACUGGUGGGUGACAGUGUCCAGCGGUCGGUCCCCUAUGCGCCCUGGCAUGCCCCAUACCCUCUGUCACUAAUGCACUGUGCGCUGAGUUAUUCUGAUGGGGGCAGCAGUUUGCCCAGCCCCCUUCCCCUUAAAAGUGGGUUUCUCUGCUGCUGCCUGGCCCCAUGUCACACAAUGAGAAGUCCUGCAAGGUCUCGGUGGACUUGUCCAAUUCCUGAGGCCUUGGGGGCGGGGGCAGUAUGGUAGUGUUACUGGGUCUCUAGAUGAAGUCCCGAGCACAUAACCUGACAGCAGAAUUCUUUGUGUUCUGUCCUGGAUCUUCCUGACAGUCCCCAGUGUGUAUUAUGUUCUUGUGCUGGGGAAAAUGAGGUGUUUAUUUAUUGAUAUCUAUGGGGUUUUUUUUUUAAUUGCAACUACCUUUUGAGAAUUUGGAAGAUAAUUUACUGAGAGGGUCCAUUACUCGGCAGGUGCAUGAGGGACCUGUGAGACUCAGGGCCUGUCUCACCGCACAUGAAUUCUGGGUUCAUGAUCACGCACAGGGCCGCUGUUCACUGCCUCCAGGGUGGGAAUGUGGCGUCACCUGGCAGGGACACCCUGCUUGCUUAAAAGACUAAUAUUCAGAUUCUUCUACUUCUACUACUACUACUACUACUACUACUACUACUACUACUACUACUACUACUACACACACACACACUUAAGCGUUGUGGUUACUGUGUAGGCAUGGUUAGUAUGGACAGCUCACACAUGCUCAGUCAGACCUGCAGGGAGGGGUAGGAGCUGUAUCUCUGGUCUCUUUAGCACAUAUAGAGACCUCCCCCCACCCCUUCCACAUUGGGAGGGAACUUGACCCCAGCAGGUGCUGGGCUAGCUGUAACAGUCUCUUAUCGGGGUUAUAGCUAUACCAAAGUCUUUCAAGAUGGCACAGGAUCAUGGGAUCCUGCACCUGCACUAAAUCACGCCAGACUGGCACAAAUAUCAUGUGUUAUUAUUGGCCAAGUUAAUUUUAAGGCCCCUUUCCUUUUAGAAAAAGAAGUGUGUGUGGGUGUGUGUAUGGUGGGGUCUCCUGCCCUCAACCCCAUUUCCCUCGGGGACAGGAAUGAGAGAGAGUGCAGAUGGCCUCUGGCAUAGUCCUAAAGAUUCAUAUAUGGGCUGGUGGUGGAUCUGCUAGCGCCAUCUCAAAGGCCAUCUUUCCACCCUGGCAUGUGGCUAGGGUGUGUCCUGGAUCCAUAGGGUGGGAGGAGGAGCCAGAUGGGUUUAUGAUACAUGGCUGUUUGAGAGUUCCCAUCAUGCAGGCAAGUCCCUAGAUGCCUCUUGUACUCAGACUGUUAACAGGGCGAGUCAUGAGUACUAGUGACCUGGGUUUCUGGCCUGGAUCACUUAUCAUGAUGGAGGAUGUUCCACUUAUUGCUGUUUUUACACAGCUAUACUCUACAUAGGCGUGGUUUCAUAAGGCAAGAAUCAAUGCACAAAGUCCAAGAAUAUCAGAUAAUUUUAGAGCCACUAUGUGACACACACCAAAUUAAAACCUUUGGCAAGCCCCAGUUUGUUUAUUAUUUAUUUUAAUCUAAACUACCCUCUUGUCCUUAGGGCUCCCUGCUUUUCCUCUGGGUCAUAAUUAAAUGUGUGGGUUUUUUGUUUUUGUUUUUGUUUUUUGUUUUUGUUUUUAAACAAAGCCUGUGGAAAUUGUCACACUGUAGUGGUUGACAGAGGAACCUGUCUUGCUACUGAUACUCAAGUGUGCACAUUGAAAGGCCCAUUGGCUGACAUUACAAACUGUCCAUGUAAAACCAGCAAUGAAGGAUGGAUGGUGACCUACAGGGGAAAGACACUGCAGGUUCACAAGCCCAGCCUUGAUUGGCAGAGGCAGGAGGCUUAUGAGUUUGAGGCUAGCCUGGCCUACAUGGCAAGUCUCUGCCUCCAGAACACCAAGGGCUAUGGCAGUAGCUCUGGGCCAAGGUCUUGCCUUACAUCUCCAAGAUUCUGGGUUUAAUUCCCAGAGGGUGUGGACAGCGGGCAGCAGACUGUUAGCCAACUAAUAAGAUUUAUCUCUAGUGGCCGCCUUGACCUUGGCUAUGUGUCUGUGAGAAGCAGCUGUUCUGAGGCCCCACUAGCCAGGAUUGUUCACCAGUGGUCAGUGUGACAGAGAGGCAGAGCAACUCGGUACAGGAACUCACCGUUUCAGUGGUAGGGUAAGGACAGAGGGAGAAGGCUUGGUUGGCUGAUGGAAGCCACACACUUGGCAUGAUGACCCACCAAGGAGGGAAUGAGGGGAGCUCAAGGGACACGCCCUCAGAAUCCCCCAAGGAUUUUUGCAAGACUUGCUUCGUUCCUGAGGCCGAGUUGCCCCGUCAUGAAGGUGCCGCCACGUGUUCUUCUAUGGACAUUCCCAGGAAGGUCCCUCAUCAGUGGUACAUCCCCGGACACUGAGUCUGUCACCUGAGACUGUGGCUGUGUCGCCCAGGCAGUGUGAGGCUGUGACCUAGUCACUGUCCAUGAAUGGGCUGUGGAGGGGUGCGUGUCCAACUUAGAUGUGGUGAACCUCAGAAUGGCAUCACCGCCUUCCUACAUGUUUGAUUCCACUUCUACUUGGAACUUCCAUAAUUUAAAUUUAAAAAAAAAAAUCGUUUCUCUUCCUAAGUGAGGUUUACUCGAAAGUCUCAAUUGCUCACAUUCAUGUUAAUAGGACCUCUUGCUUUAACUUCAUUGGUUGGUUCAAGGCCUCUUUUCCUUUAUUUGUUGCUAUGGGAAUGAAGAAGGAUGAGCCCAAAGCCUCUUCUCCAUUCUUGGUGGACAUUAGCAUUUUCUCUGUUGGUUGCUUUUGUCAACUUAGACAAAUAAGAGAGAACGCAGCACAGCACCUCAGACUGGCAGCCCCAGGAUUCAGGACACUGAGACAGGAGAAUGAUAAGUCCUGGGACGUCCUGGGCUACAGCUACAGGGGAAACCCUGCCUUAGGAACAAAUCAACUAACAGACGGAGUUGUUUCCUGACACAGGUGUGAACACUCCUACAAGCCACCCGAAGGUGCCAUGUUCCCAAAGUGGGAAACCACGCACUUUAAAUGGCCUUCAAUUGAAAAGCAGCCACAGAGACUUGGUUCGAAAUGUUCGCCUUUCAUGAAGGACAGAAGUCGUUACAGCUAAUUCAAAUCCAUAGCGUAGAGUUAGGUCUCGGCUUCUAAUAGUCUGAGUCCUUCCAGGAAACAGAAACCUAUGCCAUCCCUUUUUAUUUUGCCCUAAAUGUAAAACAUCUUUGACAGCAGCUUGGGAGUGGAGCCAUCAUUCUGAUUAUCAACUGUGAUUUUUUUUUCCCUCCAUUUCCUUGGAUUUUUCACCUGCCCUGUGGUUAUAUGUAUUGUAUGUGGUUUAUAAAUUCAACACUGGCUUUUUUUUAGUUCUGUUAUUAAAUUAUAUUUUUCUAUGUUCUAAGUAAUAGCAGAUCUGGCUUCUUCUGGUAACAGAGAUGGAUGGACCUGUAACUAGGAGACAAGAGUUCUAUUUUAGCACAAAAGCAUUUUAUAUUAUUUAUUGAAUCCGUAUGUGCGUUCCCAUGGAAACCAUCUGUAUUUCUGCUUCUUGUGAUCUGUAUAGUUUGUUAUUUAAAGAGAGAUGGCAGCCUUUUGUGUUGCUGAAACAAUAAAACCAAGCUCCUACAAGCA